CCCAGGCCGGGCGGCGUGCCGUCCAUGGCGCCGCCGAACUUCUUGUAGGUCUCCUCGAUGGGGCUCAGGAUGUCGGACACGGAGAAGGGCGUCGUGUGCUUGGGGCUCAACGACAUGGCUCGGCGGGCGGCCAGGGUUUCUAAUUUAUGCGUCUUUAGCCUCUCAAGCAUCAUUUUGUGGGCAACCAACCGGGCACUUUCAAAUUAGCUCAAAGUAUCCAAAUCCAAAGAAGAGAAAACACAGAGACACAAAUACACGGAUCCUAAUUUAAGAAGAACAGGAUGUAAGAAAACAAUUCCAGUUUAACCUAUUAGAACAUAAAAUCUAAUAGGACACAUCUUGAAGUGGCUCCUGCUACAAGUUCAAUGACAUCUAGAAAGCUCACACCUUUGAAUAAAGAAAGCACCUUAUCGUGUCUGGAGGCUCUCUGCAGACUGUCUCUUCCUGACUGCUUGGGAACUUGAUACCCUAAUUAGUACUCCUUUACUAGAGGUAAACAGUUAUGGAAAAUAUCCACAAUCUUCAACAGUUCUUCCUCUCAACUGUCUGGGUCUCGUUCCAGAAAUUGCAUAUCUUUGUGCUGAAAACACUGGAAGUGUGCAGAUGAUUCUGAAAACAUGUAUUCUGGAGGAUGUGUAAGGAUGUGUAUAUACAGAUGCAAAUUAGAAUAAUCCAAUUGAUACUCCAUUAAAGGUUUUUAUCAAAUUCAUUUCAUCA